rnacentral:piRNA from 1 species
UAUGAAGUAGUCUGGCCUAAGCAGG